GACGAACGCUGGCGGCGUGCCUAACACAUGCAAGUCGAACGAGUGGCGAACGGGGGAGUAAUACGUGGGUAACCUUCCCUCUUUUGGGGAUAAGCCUUGGAAACGGGGUCUAAUACCGAAUACAGGGGGAUGGGCUAGGGGCCUAUCAGCUCGUUGGUGGGGAAAUGGCCUACCAAGGCGGUGACGGGUAGACGGCCUGGGAGGGUGCACGGGCACAGAGACACUGCGCAACGGCCCAGGGUAGUAAGGAGGGGGGCAGUUGGGGAUAUGGGACAAUGCGUGAAAGCGUGAUGCCGCGUGGCUGAAUAGGGGAUGAGGGCUGUCGAGUUCUAAACGUCUGUAGCUAUCGAACCGGUAGCUGCAGAAGAAGCGCCGGCUAACUACGUGCCAGCAGCCGCGGUAAUUC
rnacentral:rRNA from 1 species